UACUUAGGUGGCAAGCGUUGUCCGGAUUUAUUGGGUUUAAAGGGUGCGUAGGUGGCCCUGUAAGUCAGUGGUGAAAUAUCUCAGCUUAACUGAGAGGGUGCCAUUGAUACUGCAGGGCUUGAGUACAGAUGAGGUAGGCGGAAUUGACGGUGUAGCGGUGAAAUGCAUAGAUAUCGUCAAGAACACCGAUAGCGAAGGCAGCUUACCAAGCUGUAACUGACACUGAGGCACGAAAGUGUGGGGAUCAAACAGG
rnacentral:rRNA from 1 species